rnacentral:rRNA from 1 species
AACGAACGCUGGCGGCAGGCUUAACACAUGCAAGUUGAACGGUAUUGUUAAGUAGCUUGCUAUUUGACAAGAGAGUAGCGCACUGGUGAGUAACACGUGGGAACGUACAUUGUAGUGGGGAACAACAGAGGGAAACUUCUGCUAAUACCUCAUAACGCAUCGAUACCGCAUGGUAGUGAUGCCAAAGAUUUAUUGCACAGGGAUGGCCUCGCGUUGGAUUAGAUAGUUGGUAAGGUAACGGCUUACCAAGUCUGCGAUCCAUAGCCGGACUGAGAGGUUGAACGGCCACAUUGGAACUGAGAUACGGUCCAGACUCCUACGGGAGGCAGCAGUGGGGAAUAUUGGGCAAUGGGGGAAACCCUGACCCAGCAACGCCGCGUGAAGGAAGAAGGCCUUCGGGUUGUAAACUUCUUUACCAGGGACGAAGAACGUGACGGUACCUGGAGAAAAAGCAACGGCUAACUACGUG